GAUGAAGAACGCAGCGAAAUGCGAUACGUAAUGUGAAUUGCAGAAUUCAGUGAAUCAUCGAAUCUUUGAACGCAUAUUGCGCUCUUCGGUAUUCCGAAGAGCAUGCUUGUUUGAGUAUCAGUAAACACCUCAAAGCUUUUGGAUUUUUUAAUCGAAAAGCUUUGGACUUGAGCAAUCCCAACACCAAUCUUUUUGAGAUCGGUGGCGGGUUGCUUGAAAUGCAGGUGCAGCUGGACAUUCUCCUGAGCUAAAAGCAUAUUCAUUUAGUCCCGUCAAACGGAUUAUUACUUUUGCUGCAGCUAACAUAAAGGGAGUUUGACCGUAUUGGCUGACUGAUGCAGGAUUUCACAAGGGUCGGCAACGAUUCUUGUUAAACUCGAUCUCAAAUCAAGUAAGACUACCCGCUGAACUUAAGCAUAUCAAUAAGCGGAGGA
rnacentral:misc_RNA from 1 species